rnacentral:lncRNA from 1 species
ACUGGGGCUGCAGAGAUGGCUCAGCAGUGAAGAGCACUUGCUGCGUUUUCAGAGGACCUGGGUUUAAGUUCCAGCAUCCAAGGCUCAGAACUGUCUCUGGUCUCAGGGUAUCCAACGCCCUCUUCUGACUUCUACAGGUACUGCAUACAUCUGGUGCAUAGACAAAAGUGUAGGAAAAACACACAUAUACUACUACUACUACUACUACUACUACUACUACUACUACUACUACUAAUAAUAAUAAUAAUAAUAAUAAUAAUAAUAAUAAUAAUUUAAAGAACUUAGACAAGUUUUUGGCUGCUGGUGUUCUUAGCCCCUCAGAUGUUGGGUGGCUUCUGAACUAAGCCAGUCCCUGAAUAAUAUAAAAAAGCCUAAUGCUUUUUCUGAUUAUCACCAAGCUGUUAGCAUUGUAAAGAGAUCUGAGAUGUCAUUCUGGAGGCACCGAUGGGAUGUCUGGGAUAUCUUUUUUCCUUUGCACUUAGAUCUCAUCUACACCUCAGUCAUCUCUAUCUUGAAACACAAAGACAAAUCUAUUUCUUUAGAAAUACAAUUUAUUUUGUGUUUAUGGGAGCAAAGGUUAGAAAAAUGAAUGUAAAGGACUGGAAGGGCUAACAAGAUGGCUCAGCAGAUAAAGGCGCUUGCUGCCAAGCCUGAAAGCCUGAGUUUGAGUCCCAGGACCCACAAGGUGAGUGAAGAGACAGAUUCCUAUAAGUUGUCCUCUGCCCACACAAACACAUCCCCCCAAUCUCUGUGUGUGCACGUCUCUCUGUCUCUCUGUUGCUAUCUUUCUCUCUCUGUCUCUCUCUGUCUCUCUGUCUCUCUCUUCUCUAAAUUUAAUAAAAAUGUUUUUAAGGCCCAGUAUGGCAAUAUACACCUUUAAUCCCAGCACUCAGGAGUCAGAGGCAGGCAGAUUUCUAUGUGUUCCAGGCUAGCCUGGUCUACACAGUAGUAAGUCCAGGCCAGCCAGGGCUGUGUAAAAAGACCUUGUCUCAAACAAAACAAAACAAAACCAACCAACCAAUCAACAACAAGAAGAAAUGUUUUAAAAUGAAUUUGAAAAUACACCAUAGGACUCAAUAACUUAAACAUCUGUCUGGUAAACAACCAUUUGAUAUUUUUAGUAAAUUUUAUUUUAAUACUACAGUAGAAGUACAGUAUAUUUAUGGUAUAUAAUGAUAUCUUUGCGUACUAUAUACUAUCAUACACAUAAGAACCACAUAGGAUCCAUACUGCUAAAAUACCAUUUUCCCCCCUCACAGCUAGGCCAUUUGACCAGGUUAAUUCAUCUCUAAUGCCAAUGGUGCUGGGCCACAGCUAGAGAGGUUCCAGGAAUAGUCAGUCAAAUGCCCUGCAGUGGCUCAGGGUGCAGCAGCUCUAGCCUGGCAGGAGCAGCACUAGACCUGGAAGGAGCGGAACAUCGUCUCUGUAACUUCUGCUCAUGUAACCUUUCAGAAUUUCAGCCUUCUCAUUCAUAAAAUGAGAAUAAUGCCAGGUGUGGUGCUCCCUGCCUGGAACGUCAGCACCGGAGGAGCUGAGGCAAGAGGACAAGAAUUCCCGGCUAGUGACAAAGCAUGAACCUAUUUCAAAAAA